GACGAACGCUGGCGGCGUGCUUAACACAUGCAAGUCGAACGGAAAGGCCCCUUUGGGGGUACUCGAGUGGCGCACGUGUGAGUAACACGUGAGUAACCUGCCCUUGACUUCGGGAUAACUUCAGGAAACUGGGGCUAAUACCGUAUAGGAAUCCUUGCUGCAUGGUGGGGGUUGGAAAGCUUCGGCGGUUUUGGAUGGACUCGCGGCUUAUCAGCUUGUUGGUGGGGUAGUGGCUUACCAAGGCUUUGACGGGUAGUCGGCCUGAGAGGGCGACCGGCCACAUUGGGACUGAGAUACGGCCCAGACUCCUACGGGAGGCAGCAGUGGGGAAUAUUGCACAAUGGGCGGAAGCCUGAUGCAGCAACGCCGCGUGCGGGAUGACGGCCUUCGGGUUGUAAACCGCUUUCAGCAGGGGCGAAGCUUGUGGUGACGGUACCUGCAGAAGAAGCACCGGCUAACUACGUG
rnacentral:rRNA from 1 species